GAUGAACGCUGGCGGCGUGCCUAAUACAUGCAAGUCGAGCGAACAGACGAGGAGCUUGCUCCUCUGACGUUAGCGGCGGACGGGUGAGUAACACGUGGAUAACCUACCUAUAAGACUGGGAUAACUUCGGGAAACCGGAGCUAAUACCGGAUAACAUGUUGAACCGCAUGGUUCAACAGUGAAAGACGGUCUUGCUGUCACUUAUAGAUGGAUCCGCGCCGCAUUAGCUAGUUGGUAAGGUCACGGCUUACCAAGGCAACGAUGCGUAGCCGACCUGAGUGGGUGAUCGGCCACACUGGAGCUGAGACACGGUCCAGACUCCUACGGGAGGCAGCAGUAGGGAAUCUUCCGCAAUGGGCGAAAGCCUGACGGAGCAACGCCGCGUGUGAGAAGAAGGUCUUCGGAUCGUAAAACUCUGUUAUUAGGGAAGAACAAAUGUGUAAGUAACUAUGCACGUCUUGACGGUACCGAAUCAGAAAGCCACGGCUAACUACGUG
rnacentral:rRNA from 1 species